rnacentral:rRNA from 1 species
GAGUUUGAUCGUGGCUCAGGACGAACGCUGGCGGCGUGCCUAAUACAUGCAAGUCGAGCGAGUCUCUUCGGAGGCUAGCGGCGGACGGGUGAGUAACACGUAGGCAACCUGCCUCUCAGACCGGGAUAACAUAGGGGAAACUUAUGCUAAUACCGGAUAGGUUUUUGGAUUGCAUGAUCCGAAAAGAAAGAUGGCUUUUCGCUAUCACUGGGAGAUGGGCCUGCGGCGCAUUAGCUAGUUGGUGGGGUAACGGCCUACCAAGGCGACGAUGCGUAGCCGACCUGAGAGGGUGACCGGCCACACUGGGACUGAGACACGGCCCAGACUCCUACGGAGGCAGCAGUAGGGAAUUUUCCGACAUGGACGAAAGUCUGAUGGAGCAACGCCGCGUGAACGAUGAAGGUCUUCGGAUUGUAAAGUUCUGUUGUCAGGGACGAACACGUACCGUUCGAAUAGGGCGGUACCUUGACGGUACCUGA